UACGAAGGGGGCUAGCGUUACUCGGAAUUACUGGGCGUAAAGGGCGCGUAGGCGGCGCUCCAAGUUAGGCGUGAAAGUCCUGGGCUCAACCUGGGAACUGCGCUUGAUACUGGAGUGCUUGAGGAUGGAAGAGGGUUGUGGAAUUCCCAGUGUAGAGGUGAAAUUCGUAGAUAUUGGGAAGAACACCGGUGGCGAAGGCGGCAACCUGGUCCAUUACUGACGCUCAGGCGCGACAGCGUGGGGGAUCAAACAGG
rnacentral:rRNA from 1 species